rnacentral:rRNA from 1 species
UGAGACACGGCCCAGACUCCUACGGGAGGCAGCAGUGGGGAAUAUUGCACAAUGGGGGAAACCCUGAUGCAGCGACGCCGCGUGGAGGAAGAAGGUCUUCGGAUUGUAAACUCCUGUUGUUGAGGAAGAUAAUGACGGUACUCAACAAGGAAGUGACGGCUAACUACGUGCCAGCAGCCGCGGUAAAACGUAGGUCACAAGCGUUGUCCGGAAUUACUGGGUGUAAAGGGAGCGCAGGCGGGAAGACAAGUUGGAAGUGAAAUCCAUGGGCUCAACCCAUGAACUGCUUUCAAAACUGUUUUUCUUGAGUAGUGCAGAGGUAGGCGGAAUUCCCGGUGUAGCGGUGGAAUGCGUAGAUAUCGGGAGGAACACCAGUGGCGAAGGCGGCCUACUGGGCACCAACUGACGCUGAGGCUCGAAAGUGUGGGUAGCAAACAGGAUUAGAUACCCUGGUAGUCCACACCGUAAACGAUGAUUACUAGGUGUUGGAGGAUUGACCCCUUCAGUGCCGCAGUUAACACAAUAAGUAAUCCACCUGGGGAGUACGACCGCAAGGUUGAAACUCAAAGGAAUUGACGGGGGCCCGCACAAGCAGUGGAGUAUGUGGUUUAAUUCGACGCAACGCGAAGAACCUUACCAAGUCUUGACAUCCUGCGACGCACAUAGAAAUAUGUGUUUCCUUCGGGACGCAGAGACAGGUGGUGCAUGGUUGUCGUCAGCUCGUGUCGUGAGAUGUUGGGUUAAGUCCCGCAACGAGCGCAACCC